GCCCACUGUUUCCAAUUGUAGCACUUUGAUUUUCAGACUGUGGUACUGUUUGACGUGGUCGCAGUUUAAAAGGGAGAACGAGUGGACCCCGAGAACGAUUACACGCAUUCAAGACAUCGUUAGCCACAGAAUCACCCAAUCGCACGACACUUUCCAGACUGUGGUACUGUUUGACGUGGUCGCAGUUUAGAAGGGAGAACGAGUGGACCCCGAGAACGAUUACACGCAUUCAAGACAUCGUUAGCCACAGAAUCACCCAAUCGCACGACACUUUCCAGACUGUGGUACUGUUUGACGUGGUCGCAGUUUAAAAGGGAAAACGA